AAGACUAUAGACCUGCGGAGUACCUGCGGAAGGAUCAUUCAAAAUAAAAGUGAAAUUUUUAUGGCACUUUUAAAACAAUCCAUAUUCACCUUGUGUGCAAUGUUUUUUGAAAGAAGGUCAUGUAAAAAUGACUUUUUUUCUUUUAACUUAUUACAAACACUAUUUUAUAAGAAAUCUCGUCUGAUAACAUUAUUAUUGAAUAACUUAAUUCAUAAAUAUAACUUUCAACAAUGGAUCUCU
rnacentral:misc_RNA from 1 species